UUGGCCCCUUGGGAUGCUAUGUAAUCAUUCUCUAGAGUUUGAGUUAUGGGAUCAUCAUAAAGAGGAUUCCAUAGGAAAUAAUUGUACAAGCGGGUUGAGUUUAGAGUGGAUAACUCGGGAAUAAUCAUCCCCAUCAUGUCUUGGGAUUUGGAACGAGUCAAUGGUCCCAUGUAGGACCUCGAUUUAUCUUGAGGUUUUGG
rnacentral:lncRNA from 1 species